UCUUGUUUGAUGUGUUUGAUUUUUCGAGAUUUCUUCAAUGAUUUCUUGUAAAUUGUAAUAAAUAAAUCUGUCUGUGUGAUCUUUCACAGAGCAUCAAAAAAUAUGCCUAAUUGCAGUGUGUUAGGUUGCGGCAUUAAAAGUGAAAACCGUAUUUCAUUACAUCGGUUUUCCUGGAAUAGAUGGUGUGCAAGAGUACAGAAUUAUGCCCUCUUGAUGUGUGAGUCAGUGUGGUGCAAGAAAUAAAUUAUCAACCUUCCUGCUUAAACUCUCCAUAGGUUUUUGAAAAAGAUUUCCUAAUAAUGAAGUAAUGAAAAAGAAAUGGCUAGAGAUUAUUGGUCCGAAUAAUAUAAACCCAAAGCAUAGAAAACCAGCAGUUUGUUCGAUGCAUUUCCAGGAAUCAUGCAUCAACAGAACUCUUGAUGUAACAAGAUUACAUGAUGACGCAUUGCCAUCUUCUUCACUUCUGCCUAAUCAAACCAAUUUAAAAACACAACAAACUCCAAAUCAAUUAAUAGCAAACUACAUUGGACAACAUGUUGAUCCAUUGACAUCUUCUGAGAUUACUAAAAUAUUGAUAAUCAAAGAGGAAAGCAACACACCAGCAACUCCAUGCUCCCAAGAAAAUCCUACAUCUGCAGAAAAGAUUCAACUAGAAAAUAAAGAAAUAAAAUAUCACAAAAGGUGUAAUUUCCUGAAAAAGCGGGUAAAAAUUUUGCAAGAAAGGGUACGGAGACGAGACAAGAAGAUUGCGCUCUUGACUAAAAUAAUCAAGGAUAUACAGCAAAGAAGUAGAAAAAAAAAUCUUGAAAAGAUCACGUUUCAGUAAAAUGCAGGACCAAUGAAAUUUUGAGAGGCCACCAAAUUUUUUGAUACUGAAUGAAAGUUCCACAUUGACAUUACUACAUAGUGACUGCUGAAGUAUUAGUAAAGAAUUAAAUAAGAAUUAUUUUAA